rnacentral:rRNA from 1 species
UACGUAGGGUGCAAGCGUUAUUCGGAAUUAUUGGGCGUAAAGGGCGCGUAGGCGGCUAGGUAAGUCAAAGGUGAAAUCCCUCGGCUCAACUGAGGAACUGCCUUUGAAACUGUCUAGCUCGAGGCCGGGAGGGGGUGGCGGAAUUCCCAGUGUAGCGGUGAAAUGCGUAGAUAUUGGGAGGAACACCAGUGGCGAAGGCAGCUCUCUGGGACGGUACUGACACUGAGACGCGAAAGCGUGGGGAGCGAACAGG